AAUCAGUGUUGCGGGCACUUUCUCAACAGCUCCUUGAACUUUUCCCACACCUCAAAUAGAGAAUCCAAUUCUAAUUGUAAAAAGGAGGAGAUCUCAUUCCGUGU